UACAGAGGAGCCAAGCGUUGUCCGGAUUGACUGGGCGUAAAGCGCACGCAGGCGGUCGCGCGCGUGGGGUGUGAAACGUCUGGCCGCUUAACGGCCAGGCGCCAUCCCAUACGGCGCGACUGGAGGCGUUGCAGAGGUCGGUGGAAUUGCCGGUGUAGUGGUGAAAUGCGUAGAAGAUCGGGCAGGAACACCCAGGGGGGAAACCAGCCGACGUGGGCAAGUGCUGACGCUGAGGUGCGAGAGCGGUGGGGAGCGAACCGG
rnacentral:rRNA from 1 species